CUUUAAUACCCCAAAUGUGAACUGUAAGGUGUAUCCAAGAGAAAGGGCACACUGCAAUGAGCCUGUGUAGUUCCAUUCAGAGCUAUGCAUUUAGAAUACAAUUCUAAAUAUAUGGCUCUGGUUCCAAUCAUUUAGGCCUCGGUUGCCGUGGAUACAACAACAAACCCGUUAACUCCACUGCCAAACAGCCACCACAUCUAUUGGUCAAACAGAGCUAGACAGACAAGGUUCACCCAAAUUUCUAAGCCAGGCUGGGGAUACAAACUAAAGUAGUCCCUGCUUCUAAGUCCCUACGGUUAGGUGUUUGUAAGAUUUUUGUAGUUUUUUUCCGUGUGAGAUGUAGUUGUUGCAGAAGAAGCAGAGAUGCCUAUAUCUUCUGGAGCUGAGGGUAGAGUAGAUGUGGGGAUAGAUACAUCCAUAGCGUGGACACCAGAUGGGGUGAAGAAAGAGGCAAAACCGGUCAAGAACUGUGAUUCCUAUUUAAGAAGGCAUCUGGAAAGCCAGGCACGGAAGAAAGAGCACAAUAGCACCAUUUUGGGGCAAGAUACCAGUCAACACCGUGCUGGUCCAGAUGGAGAGAACAUGGACACUUUCUCACCCGGUGUGAGCAGAGAUCCUAACACGCAACAGAAGAAUGGAGGCAGUGACGAAGGCAAAGCCUCAGGAAAACAAACCAACGAGAAGAGCUCGAAAAAAUCCCAAACAUGUACCCUUCUUUAGAGACACAGCACUAUGAAUGGGAUGCCCAACACCACGUUUUACUUAGUGCCAUAUAAUCCCAUCGUAUUGAGUCUUUAUGAUCACCCCAAGUUCUCUUCCUUCCCUGUUACUGUGAUGAAUCAUAGAAACAACAUAGGGAGAAUAUAUGUUUUGAGGGGAAUGACUGUGUAACUGCAAUCCAUGCCUAUCACUUUGCCUACCGAACAAUCGCCUUUUGUUAUCAUUGUACUGUUUGGCUCCCUUUCAUAACCUAUGUACGACUUGUGUCAACAGU